rnacentral:rRNA from 1 species
GAACGCUGGCGGCGUGCCUAAUACAUGCAAGUCGAGCGAACAGACGAGGAGCUUGCUCCUCUGACGUUAGCGGCGGACGGGUGAGUAACACGUGGAUAACCUACCUAUAAGACUGGGAUAACUUCGGGAAACCGGAGCUAAUACCGGAUAAUAUAUUGAACCGCAUGGUUCAAUAGUGAAAGACGGUUUUGCUGUCACUUAUAGAUGGAUCCGCGCCGCAUUAGCUAGUUGGUAAGGUAACGGCUUACCAAGGCAACGAUGCGUAGCCGACCUGAGAGGGGGAUCGGCCACACUGGAACUGAGACACGGUCCAGACUCCUACGGGAGGCAGCAGUAGGGAAUCUUCCGCAAUGGGCGAAAGCUUGACGGAGCAACGCCGCGUGAGUGAUGAAGGUCUUCGGAUCGUAAAACUCUGUUAUUAGGGAAGAACAAAUGUGUAAGUAACUAUGCACGUCUUGACGGUACCUAAUCAGAAAGCCACGGCUAACUACGUG